rnacentral:rRNA from 1 species
GGCCAGACUCCUACGGGAGGCAGCAGUGGGGAAUAUUGCACAAUGGGGGAAACCCUGAUGCAGCGACGCCGCGUGAGUGAAGAAGUAUUUCGGUAUGUAAAGCUCUAUCAGCAGGGAAGAAAAUGACGGUACCUGACUAAGAAGCCCCGGCUAACUACGUGCCAGCAGCCGCGGUAAUACGUAGGGGGCAAGCGUUAUCCGGAUUUACUGGGUGUAAAGGGAGCGUAGACGGCAUGGCAAGUCAGAUGUGAAAGCCCGGGGCUCAACCCCGGGACUGCAUUUGAAACUGUCAGGCUGGAGUGCAGGAGAGGUAAGUGGAAUUCCUAGUGUAGCGGUGAAAUGCGUAGAUAUUAGGAGGAACACCAGUGGCGAAGGCGGCUUACUGGACUGUAACUGACGUUGAGGCUCGAAAGCGUGGGGAGCAAACAGGAUUAGAUACCCGGGUAA